CCUCUAAACCUACCACCGCCUUCUCUCUCCAAUUAUCGGUAACUAGAGCGUUCCAUAUAUCAAUGGAUUUUCUCAAUCAACUUCAUGUAAAGAUUGGUCUUCUGCAUCUUCUUCAUCUUCGUCUGUCUUUUCCUCCAUCUAUUUCGGAUUUUUUUCGUUAAUCCAUAUCGACAUCUGUUUCCAAUAUGCCUGGGUCUUCUUCAUUAAGUAUCAGAGAACCCUCUUUCUGUAGGCAUAUGAAAAAAGCAGAUGAGAUAAUUCUGUCUAUUCCUUCUGAUGCUGCUUGCAAGCUGUGGGGUGUUGAUAUGGGCCCUACAAAUGUUAUGAUACAUACUGAUGAUGGCCGCAUUUUUAAUUUUUUUUUAACUGAAUCUAAAGGAAAUUUGUUCUUUUUCCAUGGAUGGUCCAAUGUAACCCAACAUUUGGGACUAUCCAAAGGAUGUUUUGUAGUAUUCAAUCCCCUCGAUUGUACUACGUUUAAAUUAACACAUUUCAUUGAUGGUGUUAGCGGUAGCUCUUUUUGGACAUAUCUGCUACGUACAUCAUCUCAUUUUUAUGUAAUACCUGAAGUUAUCCUGCCGGAAACCUUUUCUACAUCCGUUGAUUUAAUAUCCACUAUAAUGAUAAACAACAAUCCGUUUCAUGUUAGGAUUGAAACGGAUGGCGGUAAAUUCGGUUUUACCGUUGGUAUUGACGUUAUUGUUAGUUUGUUACAUUUAGAGCCUGGUUGUUUUUUGAUAUUUACAAAAUAUUUUGGUAAUGAUUUUAAUUUAAAAGUAUUUGGAAAAAACGGUGUUGAAAAUAACUUUCUUGAUGUAGACGUUGAUGUGGUAAGGUUACAUUUUGUUACUUAUAUGUUAUUUAUACAUUUGUUAAUUUAAUAAUUUAAUAAAUUGUAUUAAAUGUUUUAUUUAAUUUGCAGCCUUUAGUUCCUCCUAUUGAUGCUGUGAACGAAAUUUAUGAAGAACCACAUAGUCGUGUGUAUCGGUUUUCCCGUAGUGUUGGUACCGAUUUUAUGCUUCCCGAUCGUGUUUCUGAAAUGGCCAAACUUAAUCUUUGUUUGAAAGAUAUAACCGUCAGACUUUUGAAUAUGGAACCUCCAGUUCAGUUUACUAAUGGUACUAGACGUGAAAGGACACAUAAUGGUUUUCGAUAUGCGUUAAGGCGAUGGUCGAAGUUCAUGAAAACUGCUGGAAUUAAGGAUGUUGUCGAUGAUGUACGUGACAUGUUUUUAGCUAUUAAGCAAGAGAGCUAGACACAAAGGAUGUGUCAAAUACGGUUUAGAUGAUACAUGUUCAAGGUAAUAAGAAGAAACUCUCUGUUGAAUUAGCAACCAAUUUUAGAGUUUUGCUCAAAAGAUGGAUGUGUCGGUGAUGUUGUCGAGGAGUGUCAGGAAAUGCUUAUUGAUAGCAUUUUGUUAUACUCCUCGACAAUGUCACCGACCCCUCUAAAAAAUUCCAUCAAAACUCUCACACUGGUUGCUUCUACAACAGAGGGUUUUUUUUGUUACCUGAACCUGUAUCAUCUCAACUUUUUGACUGACCAUGUAUUGUUGUUACAUCAAGAUUCAAUUAAGAUUAUUUUCUUUAUUAAAGUUGAUCGGAUUCAUUGUUCAUCACCACAGAUCAUCUUAUUUUUAUGUCAUUCGAUAAUUUAUCAACGCCGAAAACCUUUAUUACAAUCAUUGAUCAAAUAUACACGAUAUUGAUAACCAACACAACGUCUGACAUUAGGAUUAAAACGGCUA